rnacentral:rRNA from 1 species
UUAGCCGGUUGGUGAGGUAACGGCUCACCAAAGCAACGAUCAGUAGCUGGUCUGAGAGGACGACCAGCCACACUGGGACUGAGACACGGCCCAGACUCCUACGGGAGGCAGCAGUGGGGAAUUUUGGACAAUGGGCGCAAGCCUGAUCCAGCUAUUCCGCGUGUGGGAUGAAGGCCCUCGGGUUGUAAACCACUUUUGUAGAGAACGAAAAGACACCUUCGAAUAAAGGGUGUUGCUGACGGUACUCUAAGAAUAAGCACCGGCUAACUACGUGCCAGCAGCCGCGGUAAUACGUAGGGUGCGAGCGUUAAUCGGAAUUACUGGGCGUAAAGGGUGCGCAGGCGGUUGAGUAAGACAGAUGUGAAAUCCCCGAGCUUAACUCGGGAAUGGCAUAUGUGACUGCUCGACUAGAGUGUGUCAGAGGGAGGUGGAAUUCCACGUGUAGCAGUGAAAUGCGUAGAUAUGUGGAAGAACACCGAUGGCGAAGGCAGCCUCCUGGGACAUAACUGACGCUCAGGCACGAAAGCGUGGGGAGCAAACAGGAUUAGA